UUAGCGUUGGUAUUGGUGUUGGCAUUGGGAUUAGUAUCAAUUGGAUAAUUGGUUGUGAUUGGUUGUUAUGGUUAUAGACUUUAUUUAUUGUCUUUAGUUUAUUAUUGCUUUAUCUUUUUAUAUGUAUAAAUUUAUUCGACAUGGGGUGUGGGGCGAUUAAGGUUGGGUAUUGGGGGUGGUCUUCGAUCCUGGUUGGACUUAAGAUAUCCAACAUGACUAAGAUCUAGUUUGGGUUAUGUC
rnacentral:lncRNA from 1 species